UACGUAGGUGGCAAGCGUUAUCCGGAAUUAUUGGGCGUAAAGCGCGCGCAGGUGGUUUCUUAAGUCUGAUGUGAAAGCCCACGGCUCAACCGUGGAGGGUCAUUGGAAACUGGGAGACUUGAGUGCAGAAGAGGAAAGUGGAAUUCCAUGUGUAGCGGUGAAAUGCGUAGAGAAUAUGGAGGAACACCAGUGGCGAAGGCGACUUUCUGGUCUGUAACUGACACUGAGGCGCGAAAGCGUGGGGAGCAAACAGG
rnacentral:rRNA from 1 species